rnacentral:tRNA from 1 species
GGAGAGGUGGCCGAGGGGUUAAAGGCGGUAGACUGUAAAUCUACUCACAUUGUGUACAUUGGUUCAAAUCCAAUCUUCUCCA